rnacentral:tRNA from 1 species
GGGGAUGUGGCUCAGUGGCAGAGCGCUUGCCUAGCAAGCAGGAGGCUCUCCCUUCUACCCCA